CUUUAGUAAUUGCGAAUGAACAAGGAUAUGCUUAGCUUGACAAAUGGAGCUAUUGGCUUUGAAUUGUAUUGUGGAAAUGUAUUACCAACAGAGGUGCAGGUGCCAGCCUAUUGAAAUAAAGCGUCAAUGAGGGUGAGAAUCCUGUUUGUCAUGUGCAGCCCUUUGUGCACGGUGUAUAUUUGCUGAGUCACACUCCUUGGCAUUGGAAUGCAAAGUGGGUGGUAAGUUUCAUGUAAAGGUAAACAUGCAAUUGAGACUGAUAGCACACAAGUACCAUGAGGGAAAUAUGAAAAGGACUUUGAAAAGAGAAUUAAAUGAGUUUGUAUUUGCUGAACACAAAGUAAACAGACUUGAUUUGCUUGGUGGGAGUGUUGCACUUGCUUGACAAGAGCUUUGGGCUGUGGGUGUAAUGAUUCUUUCUUUGCAUGCCAGUUUCUAUUUGUACAUCUGAUUACCUUUGCACAUGAAUGAUAAGUCUCCUGUGGGGGGUGGAUUGCAUGUGCAUGUAAUGAUUUGUGUUUUGAUAAAUGUGUCUGGUGUAUGUGUGUGUUCCUGUGCUUGGGGAUGCUUCCUUCCUUGGACUUACAAGCCCUGACACACACAUGCUGGCAAAAUGCUUCUGCUUGACCCGUCUUGAAACACGGACCAAGGAGUCUAACAGAUGUGCAAAGUUUGAAGGUGGUAUACCUUUGUGUGCAAUGAAAGUGUCAGCUGGGAUAUGUGCACCAGCACCCAAUUAAUUAGCGGACAGAGGUUUGAGUUGGAGCAUAUCUAUUAGGACCCGAAAGAUGGUGAACUAUGCCUGAACAGAAUGAAUUCAGAGGAAACUCUGAUGGAGGUUCGUAUCGAUACUGACGUGCAAAUCGUUCGUCAUAUUUGGGUAUAGGGGCGAAAGACUAAUCGAACCAUCUAGUAGCUGGUUCCCUCCGAAGUUUCCCUCAGGAUAGCUGGAGUUGCUCAGUUUUAUCAGGUAAAGCGAAUGAUUAGAGGAAUUGGGGACAGGUUUGUCUUUGACCUAUUCUCAAACUUUAAAUGGGUAAUAUGUAGUGGUUGCUGUAUGGAACUUCUAAGAUAAAUGGC
rnacentral:rRNA from 1 species